rnacentral:rRNA from 1 species
GGAACGAACGCUGGCGGCAGGCUUAACACAUGCAAGUCGAACGGGCGUAGCAAUACGUCAGUGGCAGACGGGUGAGUAACACGUGGGAACCUUCCUAGGGGUACGGAACAACUCAGGGAAACUUGAGCUAAUACCGUAUACGUCCGUGAGGAGAAAGAUUCAUCGCCCCUAGACGGGCCCGCGUCGGAUUAGGUAGUUGGUGGGGUAACGGCCUACCAAGCCUACGAUCCGUAGCUGAUCUGAGAGGAUGAUCAGCCACACUGGGACUGAGACACGGCCCAGACUCCUACGGGAGGCAGCAGUCGGGAAUUUUGCGCAAUGGACGAAAGUCUGACGCAGCAACGCCGCGUGAGGGAUGAAGGCCUCGGGUUGUAACCUCUUUAUCAGGGAAGAUAAUGACGGUACCUGAUGAAUAGGUCACGGCUAACUACGUGCCAGCAGCCGC